AUUGAACGCUGGCGGCAGGCCUAACACAUGCAAGUCGAGCGAGCGGCGGACGGGUGAGUAAUGUCUGGGAAACUGCCUGAUGGAGGGGGAUAACUACUGGAAACGGUAGCUAAUACCGCAUACCAUCAGAUGUGCCCAGAUGGGCUUAGCUAGUAGGUGGGGUAACGGCUCACCUAGGCGACGAUCCCUAGCUGGUCUGAGAGGAUGACCAGCCACACGGGACGUGAGACACGGUCCAUACUCCGACGGGAGGCAGCAGUGGGGAAUAUUGCACAAUGGGCGCAAGCCUGAUGCAGACUGGCCGCGUGUAUGAAGAAGGCCUUCGGGUUGUAAAGUACUUUCAGCGGGGAGGCGUGAAGAGAAGAAGAAGCACCGGCUAACUCCGUGCCAGCCGCCGCGGUAAUAG
rnacentral:rRNA from 1 species